ensembl:rRNA predicted gene, 23899
UCUGAUCUUUUCCGUCUCUGAGGCUAACCAGGUUGCACCUGGUUAGUUCUUGGAUGGGAGGCCACCUGGGAAUACUGGCUGUGGUGACAA